AUUUAUAUAGUUUAUUUAAAACAUUAUAUUUUCACUAUAAAAAAAGAUUUUAUUUAUUAAUU
rnacentral:tRNA from 1 species